rfam:Emmonsia parva TAMH 139 supercont1.1523, whole genome shotgun sequence.
GGGCAAUUGGUUUAGUGGUAUAAUACCCCCUUAGCAUCGAUUCGAGUCGACAAUUGACCGAGUCACGUGACUGGGGGUGGUCCAGGGUUCGAUUCCCUGAUUGUCCA